CCCUGGUCCAUGGUUGCUGCUUCCUUGGCAAGCCCCAAGCACAGCCCCAGUCAGGGCACUGGGACAGAUCCGGCCCCAGCUUCUGGAAGCUGCUGGAGGACAUCCAGCAUAAGGAAUGAAAACAAAGAAUUUUCAAGAGACCAAGGCCAAAGGAUUACUCAAUCAAGGAGAGAGAGAUUAACUCAGUUUCGUGCUGUUGCAAACUGGGAACGGUUUCACUGGUUGUAGUGGGCUGACAAGUCAAAAUCCACCCUAUGCUCAGCUCUGAUUAACCUUGGACUCUGCUACAUUCAACCUGCACGAGACCAGUCCGUGGUGCAAUAAAAGCUUCCGGAAAACGGGCUGAAGUCCAGGAAAAGGGAGCGCAGGAUCCA